AAAAGAAAGUUCAGAAGAAGAAGGAUUAUCAGGAAAAAAGUUGCAGCAAAAGGCUAUUACUGAAUACUUUUUGUUACCGGAGGGUGCAUGAAUCGGCGCCGAAGCGGCUGCCAAGUGCAAGCCGGUCAAGGCGCAGCAAGGACUUUCCAAAGGGCACAGCCGGCUCUUCCACUGCCGAGAGCCCAAAUCCAGACCUGACCUGGAGGCACAGUCUCGCAGGCUCUUGCUCCCUGUGCCCAGUGGCAGUUUGAGUCCGGAACACUCCCGGACUCUCUCCUGGGCCAUCUGGGGCUACCCGGGACAGGAUGCUGCAGGUGGAAGAUGGCCCAAGUCCCUAAAGUUUGAUCAUUUCCAAUGUCAAUAACUACAGUGGUUCUCCCACACCUGAAAGCUAAUGAGUAAUGAGUGCCAUUAAGGCCUGUUUCAAAUGUAAAAAACCUUGAGAUAAUGUACUAAACUGUUCAGACGGUUAUUUUCUUAGUAGAAUGCUACAGGAUUUUCUUUAGCCAUCCGGAGUUCCUGCCUUCAUCCCAGUGCCAAUGAGGAUAAGGGUGGAAGAAUUUCCAGUGUUGCUGAAAACCGGAUGAAACUUCGGCUGAGAACCGGAUGAGACUUUGGAUCAAGCUAGCUGCCUGCAGAACUUACCUGGACUGUGAUUUACCUGGACUAAAACUCCCGAGAGGCAGCCGCCAUAGGAUGGCCUGGUCACAACCGAACUGAGAGGGUGAGGCUGCCCCGGUGAUCCCGCCCUGCAGUACAGAGGCCGCCGUGGUGGCCCCGAUGCCCAGGCUCUGCAGCGGCCACGCACGGCAUCCCAGGACACUGCUCUUACUUGCAGCACAGCAGCAGCUGGYGAGAAGGGUGUGGAGGAAGAGGCAGGCGGCUGGGGAGGUGCCCAGAGGACUGCCCACUUCCGGGGGAGCAGGCCGGAGCCAUGGUUACCUAAGGCCCGGGAGAUAAGGAGGCCAGUUGCGCAAGGCGCAGGCGGAGGAGCUUCCCGUGACUCAACGCCCUGCCCUCCUGGAUGAGGGCCCAGGGGAGAAGCCACAGGGGAUGGAACUGGGAUGCUCGGUGGAACUGGAACAGGGACUGGGAUGGGGUUGAGUCUGAGUGUCCAGGGCCCCGGUGCCUCGUGCACCCUCCAGGGUUCCCACGGAACCUGCACAGAUGUGUGCGCUGGUGUGAGGGAGUCUGAGCCCAGGAGAGCUGGGCCUCCGGACCAGCACCGGAGCUCCUGCUGGGUGGCAGCUUCGUGGUGAACUUGAAAUUGCACCUAAUUAAAAGUUACCCCCAAUACACACACACACACACACACACACACACACACACAUACACACACACGGCAGCAGCACAAAGUGGAGACUCGGAA